rnacentral:lncRNA from 1 species
GUUCUGUGUUCUUGGGCUACAUGUAUAGGAACAUUUCAUUCACCUUUGCUGAAUGAGUAAAAAUCCUUCGGGCCAGGCUUGAGGGGGUAGAGCCUGAUGAACAACUUCCGCAUCUCGUCAUACACCCAAAUCAAAAUGGCAUGCGGGACAGCCACAAACCAGUACUGAGCCCUGGAAACAACAGAGGAACGUGAGGUUUGUCCAAAGAGAUAGCUCAGACCCCGGUCAACAGUGGAGACGGGUGGAAACUCUCUCUUAGUUUUCCUUGCCUCAAUAGACAAAACAUAUGUGUUACACCACACAGCACAGGCCUGCCAAGGUCCUUACUUAACCCAAGCCGGGACUGCUAAAAGUAGCCUGGGUCUUUGAGGGAGCCUGCUGGAUGAGAGUGGUGAUGGUCCAGUUAGGACUGGAAGAUGGGUUUCCAUAGCUUGGGAUCCAUUUAAUCUCUUUGGGAAGACUGGAGGAAAAUCCUGUGGGAACCCUAGUGUUUAUUCCAGUUAUGAUAGCUCAGAAGAGAAGCCAGCUUCUCGCUUGGUGCCACUGAAGGUCAACUCACCUGAGCAUGGUAAAGCUCAGAGCUGUGACACUCCCGAGACCGUAGGAGAGGACCAACGCAACGAUGAUCUGCGAGAUGAUCCCCACCCAGAUGACUUUGUUUCUGCAACACACACAAAAGCAAACAGAUGCUGAAUUUCCAAGGCCAUGCACCCAACAGACCAUGCCACAGGCCAAGCCAACACCUCAUAUAUUACAGAAACGGAGAGAACCCAGAGAGAGGAAAAUAGCACUCACCUUGAUCCCCGCACUCCGACAUUUGGAGACCGCAUCUGGCACGGUAGACCGAGGAGGGUCAAUCAUGGACAGAAGCCCCACAAAGCAGAGAUUGGAAGUGGGAAAGUUUAUGGAGUCUACAUCAAAUGUGUAGCUUUGGGGAAACUUAUCUGCUGGCAAGUAGAGGUGACAGAAACCUGGAAAAGGGGGCUGGAGAUUGAGCCCAGGACCUCACACAUGUGAGGCAAAGACACCACCACUGAACUACACUCCAGGAGCCCCCAUGUUCUUUAUAUGAUCCAUGUGAUGUCAUGGCUUCUCUGCUAGUGGCACUUCUUUCAUGGCUCUCACACUUACCCAACACACGCUCUCCCAGACCACCCAGCUCCAUGUAGGCCGUGUGGAAGGCAUCGGCAGAGCUCUUGUCCAGUGGCUGCUCCUGGCCGUUGAUCAUGAUGGUGCUGCACUUCUCUAAGAUCCUCUCAGGGGCCCCUUUCAUCACCAUGAGGAAGCGCUUGUCAUUCGGGUCCUCGGUCUCAUGUAUGGAGAGCUGGGAGGGCAUGGAUUGGGCAGGUUAGCAAUGGCAUCUUAGCCAUGGUUCUUCCAAUUAGCAACAGGACAAACAGGGGGGACAUUGUUUUCUUGCUAUUUGCCCUCAGAGGAUAAAAGAGGAGGAAGAAUCAUGACACUCCCAAGUGUAGCCUGUCUUUUGGUGUUAUAACUAAUUAAAAGACUAGAUUUGGGUGAUCCAGAAGGGCAGGGUGAGCUGGAACCCACACUAGGUACAGCUUGUGUUUCAGACACUGGCCCUUUAAAGCCCUUUGAGGAGGUCAGGUGUGCUCAUGUUUGAGUAAGCUAUGGACAAUGGUGUUGCAAGAGUUGGGACUAGAAGAGCCCUUGUCUCACUUCUCCCUCCUAGUGGUGAGUAGCCAUAUUUUGUAUGUGCUUGUUAAACAAACACACACACACACACACACACACACACACAUGUCAUGUGCACCUGCACACACAUGUGCACCUUGGUUUUUGAGGACCUCUCAUUGGCUUGGAGUUGACCCACUGGCUAGGCUGGUUGGCCAGGAAAUUCCAGAGAUUUGUCUGUCUCUGACCCCCAGACCCAGCUUUUCACAUGGGUCCUGUAGAUCAAACUUGGGUCCUUGUAUUUGCCAGGCAAGCACUUUGCUGACUUAGACAUCUCCUCAGCCUUGAACAGCCACUUGUAAAUGCUGAGCUGCCAAGGUCAGUAGGUAUUCCUGUGGCCCCCUGACUCAGGAUGGAUCUAGUUAUAUCUGGAUAUAACGGGAGAUGGUGGAAAUAUAGAGAAGAAGGCACCGUUAAAAGCAGCCAUUUCCCGUUCUCCUUCUCCUUCUUCUAAAUAGUGCUUAAUAGGAAUUACACUCAGAGCUGUGUAAAUGCAAGGCAAACUCUCUACCAUUGAAUCAGAUGCUCCAGACCACGAAGCUUUUGAAAUAUUUUUUCGAGAAAAUAAGAUAUACAGAAAAUUGUCACCACUUUGGGAUUAACAGUUGAUUCAAAUCAGUAGUUGCUAGUCCCUAAUAGAGGGGUUAGAGAACGGACUGAAGGAGUUGAAGGGGUUUGCAACCCCAUAGGAAGAACAACAAUAUCAACCAACCAGACCCCCCAGAACUCCCAGGGACUAAGCCAUCAACAAAGGAGUACACAUGGCUCCAGCUUCAUAUGGAGCAGAGGAUGGCCUUGUCAGGCAUCAAUGGAAGGAGAGGUCCUUGGUCCUAUGAAGGCUUCAUAGGUGCCCCAGUGUACGGGAAUUGAGGGCGGGGAGGUGGGAGUGAGUGGAUGGGUGGAGGAACACCCUCAUAGAAGCAGGGGAGGGAGGAUGUGAUAGGGUGUUUCUGAGAGGGAGGGAAACCAAAAAAAGGACAACAUUUGAAAUGUAAAUAAAGAAAAUAUCC